rnacentral:lncRNA from 10 species
AGACAUUGGAGAACAGAGUAUUCUCUGUAGCCAGUGUAGGAAUAAAUGUGAAUUUGUAUGUAUUGCUGAAAUGUGCAUUUUGCCAUCCAGUUGCAAUUCCUGUUUUUCUGAAAACAAACCUUAAAAAUCAAGAAAGGUGAAGGACAUUUACAUAUUUAAGCUGACGGCACCCCUAACAACAAGGCAGGAUUGUUUUGUUUAGGAAAGAAUUUAAAUGAAAGAACUCUCACUAUCAGUUCUUAAUGUGAUUUUGCAGACUUGGGUUUUUCAGAAACAAAACUUAAAUUCAACUAGAUAGUUUGGGCACACCAGGAAGCAGGUAAAAACUCUGGAAACUUGGGACCGGGGAGCAGCCACGGGGGAGAAGAAGCCCGGCAAAUAAAGGAAAGUGAAGAUGACGGAGACUCCGAGGGGCAGAGGAAGGCAAGGAAGUCCAGAAAUGGAGCAGUCAAGCCCCAGAGCGUCUGUCUGCAGGGGCUGAGGACAACUUUCAAGCAAGAGGGCCAGGAGCCCAAGGCUAGCAGAGUAUCAGAAGCGUCUGGCCACCCACAGGUCAGCAGCCAGCACUCUCUCUCCCUUGAUGACAGCAGCUGGCUCCAAAAAGGACCAUAGCUGUGGAAAGGAAACCUCUAAAUGUCUGAUAAAGGCCUUUGAGGUUGGACUGGAAUUACACCUUCAGCUGGCAGAUGGCAGAUGGUGGGACUUCUCAGCUUCCAAAAAAUCACCUGGUCCAAUCCCUCAUUAUAAACCGUGCACUCUCCCUCUCUCUCUUUCUUUUGUCUGUCUCUCUAAGUGUGUGUGUGUGUGUGUGUGUGUGUGUGUGCAUCUUGACAAGGAUGUUCCAUCCAGGCCAGUGACAAACCCCAUGAUAUGGUUUGGCAGUGUCCCCAUCCAAAUCUCAUCUUGAAUUGUAGCUCCCAUAAUUCCCAUGUGUCAUGGGAGGGACCUGGUGGGAGGUCUUUCUUGUGCUGUUCUCAUGAUAGUGAAUAAGUCUCAUGAGAUCUGAUGGUUUAUAAAGGGGAGUUCCCCUGCACAAGCUCUCUCUUGCCUGCCACCAUGUAAGACAUCCCUUGCUCUUCUGCCAUGAUUGUGAGGCCAUGUGGAACUGUUUCUUAUUUGAAAUCUCAUUGUUGAAAAAGCAUUCUAAUGACAGAAUUGGAAACCAACUAUCUGGAUUAUCUCUUCAGGACAAAUCACUCACUUUCAUUUACAACAGCUUUUUAAAGUAUUUUA